CAGGCCUAACACAUGCAAGUCGAACGAUGACUCUCUAGCUUGCUAGAGAUGAUUAGUGGCGGACGGGUGAGUAACAUUUAGGAAUCUGCCUAGUAGUGGGGGAUAGCUCGGGGAAACUCGAAUUAAUACCGCAUACGACCUACGGGUGAAAGGGGGCGCAAGCUCUUGCUAUUAGAUGAGCCUAAAUCAGAUUAGCUAGUUGGUGGGGUAAAGGCCCACCAAGGCGACGAUCUGUAACUGGUCUGAGAGGAUGAUCAGUCACACCGGAACUGAGACACGGUCCGGACUCCUACGGGAGGCAGCAGUGGGGAAUAUUGGACAAUGGGGGCAACCCUGAUCCAGCCAUGCCGCGUGUGUGAAGAAGGCCUUUUGGUUGUAAAGCACUUUAAGCAGGGAGGAGAGGCUAAUGGUUAAUACCCAUUAGAUUAGACGUUACCUGCAGAAUAAGCACGGGCUAACUCUGUGCCAGCAGCCGCGGUA
rnacentral:rRNA from 1 species